rnacentral:rRNA from 1 species
GAUGAACGCUGGCGGCGUGCCUAAUACAUGCAAGUCGAGCGAACAGACGAGGAGCUUGCUCCUCUGGCGUUAGCGGCGGACGGGUGAGUAACACGUGGAUAACCUACCUAUAAGACUGGGAUAACUUCGGGAAACCGGAGCUAAUACCGGAUAAUAUAUUUAACCGCAUGGUUCAAUAGUGAAAGACGGUUUUGCUGUCACUUAUAGAUGGAUCCGCGCCGCAUUAGCUAGUUGGUAAGGUAACGGCUUACCAAGGCAACGAUGCGUAGCCGACCUGAGAGGGUGAUCGGCCACACUGGAACUGAGACACGGUCCAGACUCCUACGGGAGGCAGCAGUAGGGAAUCUUCCGCAAUGGGCGAAAGCCUGACGGAGCAACGCCGCGUGAGUGAUGAAGGUCUUCGGAUCGUAAAACUCUGUUAUUAGGGAAGAACAAAUGUGUAAGUAACUAUGCACGUCUUGACGGUACCUAAUCAGAAAGCCACGGCUAACUACGUG